rnacentral:rRNA from 1 species
UACAGAGGUCCCAAGCGUUGUUCGGAUUCACUGGGCGUAAAGGGUGCGUAGGUGGUUGGGCAAGUCUGAUGUGAAAUCUCCGGGCUUAACCCGGAAAUGGCAUUGGAAACUGCCCGGCUAGAGUGUUGGAGGGGGGACUGGAAUUCCUGGUGUAGCGGUGAAAUGCGCAGAUAUCAGGAGGAACACCGGUGGCGAAGGCGGUUCUCUGGGCAUUACCUGACGCUGAGGAGCGAAAGCAUGGGGAGCAAACAGG